rnacentral:rRNA from 1 species
CUAGGGAGGCAGCAGUGGGGAAUCUUGCGCAAUGGGCGAAAGCCUGACGCAGCAACGCCGCGUGUGUGAUGAAGGUCUUCGGAUCGUAAAGCACUGUCGGGAGGGACGAAUAAGGCCGGCGCUAACAUCGCCGGACGAUGACGGUACCUCCAAAGGAAGCACCGGCUAACUCUGUGCCAGCAGCCGCGGUAAUACAGAGGGUGCAAGCGUUGUUCGGAAUUAUUGGGCGUAAAGCGCGUGUAGGCGGCCAGCCAAGUCGGGUGUGAAAGCCCUCGGCUUAACCGAGGAAGUGCGCCCGAAACUAGCUGGCCUGAGUACCGGAGAGGGUGGCGGAAUUCCCGGUGUAGAGGUGAAAUUCGUAGAUAUCGGGAGGAACACCAGUGGCGAAGGCGGCCACCUGGACGGAUACUGACGCUGAGACGCGAAAGCGUGGGGAGCAAACAGGAUUAGAUACCCUGGUAGA